rnacentral:rRNA from 1 species
AUGUGAUCGUCUCUCGCAUAUCAAUAAGCGGAGGAAAAGAAACUAACAAGGAUUCCCCUAGUAACGGCGAGUGAAGCGGGAAGAGCUCAAAUUUGAAAUCUUAAAGGGUUUCCCUUUACGAAUUGUAGUUUAAAGAAGUGUUUUCUGUUGAGGUUUUGGUAAAAGUUCUUUGGAAUAGGACAUCAUAGAGGGUGAGAAUCCCGUAUUUGACCUUUACUUUCAACUUUGUGAUACACUUUCAAAGAGUCGGACUUGUUUGGGAAUGCAGUCCAAAAUGGGUGGUAAAUUUCAUCUAAAGCUAAAUAUUGGCGAGAGACCGAUAGCGAACAAGUACCGUGAGGGAAAGAUGAAAAGAACUUUGAAAAGAGAGUUAAACAGUACGUGAAAUUGUCAAAAGGGAAGCGUUUGACACCAGUGUUGUUUUUCUGAAAAUCAAUUAAAGAACUGUUUAUGCUAAGUUGUUUAGACUUUAUCAGCUAUCUGUUUAGUUUUGAGCUUUUCUUUAAUGCACUUUUCAGUUAACAAGUCAACAUCAAUUUCUUUUGCUGUAAAAAAGCUUGAGGAAGGUGGCUUGAGAUUCGUCUUAAGUGUUUAUAGCCUCUUGCCUAUGCAGUCGGAGAGAUUGAGGUCUGCAGCGUAGAUCCUUCGGGGCUAAAUGCAUUUGUGCUAAGUUAUAGCAUUAUAUAGACAACUUGUUGACUAUGAUUUGUCUUGUAGCUUACUCGCUUAUGUUAUUUUACCUACGCUUAGGAUGUUGAAGUCAUCGUAUCGCGC